CCUACGGGUGGCUGCAGUGGGGAAUAUUGGACAAUGGGGGCAACCCUGAUCCAGCCAUGCCGCGUGUGUGAAGAAGGCCCUCGGGUUGUAAAGCACUUUCAGUGAGGAAGAACGCCUGGUGGUUAAUACCCAUCAGGAAAGACAUCACUCACAGAAGAAGCACCGGCUAACUCCGUGCCAGCAGCCGCGGUAAUACGGAGGGUGCGAGCGUUAAUCGGAAUUACUGGGCGUAAAGCGCGCGUAGGUGGCUUGAUAAGCCGGUUGUGAAAGCCCCGGGCUCAACCUGGGAACGGCAUCCGGAACUGUCAAGCUUGAGUGCAGGAGAGGAAGGUAGAAUUCCCGGUGUAGCGGUGAAAUGCGUAGAGAUCGGGAGGAAUACCAGUGGCGAAGGCGGCCUUCUGGACUGACACUGACACUGAGGUGCGAAAGCGUGGGUAGCAAACAGGAUUAGAUACCCCUGUAGUC
rnacentral:rRNA from 1 species